rnacentral:rRNA from 1 species
GCUAGAGUGGCGAACGGGUGAGUAACACGUGAGUAACCUGCCCUUGACUUUGGGAUAACUUCAGGAAACUGGGGCUAAUACCGGAUAGGAGCUCCUGCUGCAUGGUGGGGGUUGGAAAGUUUCGGCGGUUGGGGAUGGACUCGCGGCUUAUCAGCUUGUUGGUGGGGUAGUGGCUUACCAAGGCUUUGACGGGUAGCCGGCCUGAGAGGGUGACCGGCCACAUUGGGACUGAGAUACGGCCCAG